rnacentral:rRNA from 1 species
AACGAACGCUGGCGGCAUGCCUAACACAUGCAAGUCGAACGAGACCUUCGGGUCUAGUGGCGCACGGGUGCGUAACGCGUGGGAACCUGCCCUUAGGUUCGGAAUAACUCCCCGAAAGGGGUGCUAAUACCGGAUAAUGUCUUCGGACCAAAGAUUUAUCGCCUUUGGAUGGGCCCGCGUUGGAUUAGCUAGUUGGUAGGGUAAAAGCCUACCAAGGCGACGAUCCAUAGCUGGUCUGAGAGGAUGAUCAGCCACACUGGGACUGAGACACGGCCCAGACUCCUACGGGAGGCAGCAGUGGGGAAUAUUGGACAAUGGGCGAAAGCCUGAUCCAGCAUUGCCGCGUGAGUGAUGAAGGCCUUAGGGUUGUAAAGCUCUUUUACCCGGGAUGAUAAUGACAGUACCGGGAGAAUAAGCUCCGGCUAACUCCGU